GACGAACGCUGGCGGCGUGCUUAACACAUGCAAGUCGAACGGAAAGGCCCUGCUUUUGUGGGGUGCUCGAGUGGCGACCGGGUGCGUAACACGUGAGUAACCUGCCCUUGACUUUGGGAUAACUUCAGGUAACUGGGGAUAUUACCGGAUGGGAGCUCCUGCUGCAUGGUGGGGGUUGGAAAGUUUCGGCGGGUGGUGAUGGAUUCUCGGCUACUCGGCUUGAUGAUGGGGUAGUGGCUUACCAUGGCUUUGACUGGUGGCCGGCCUGGGCGGGUGUCCGGCCACCAUGGGACUGAGUUACGGCCCGGUCUCCUUCGUGACGCAGCAGUCGCGAAUGUUACACCUAGUGCGGAAGCUGAACGCGCCGAUGCUGCGUGCGCGAUGACGGCUUUUGGGUUGUAAACCGCUUUCGCCUGUUAUGAAGCGUGAUUGACGGUAAUGGGUAAAGAAGCACCGGCUAACUACGUG
rnacentral:rRNA from 1 species